GCGCUUACCGCCACUCACACGUCCGCGCGGCGCCCGCCUUACAAACGGCUGAUUUGACCACCUUUAGCAUGCAGUAAAGUUUGGCGUUGCACUCACCGUCUGUGGCUCGCUGUCUCUCGCUGCUCCGCAAGUGUCACUUGGGCAUGACACGCGGGCCGCAUCAUUUGCAUGGCAGAGGGCUGCGCCGAAACGACGCGCGGUCACCAUCUGAAUAACCGUGAAUGUCCUGUGAUGUGGCGCUGGUUCUGGAAGCGGAGCUCGGUCAGCGUGGCGUUGUGCUGCAGAGACUGGAUGAGAGAGAGGAUGCCUUUGCCAGUGAGAUGGUUGGAGUCCAAGUUGAUGCUGAUUAACCUGGAGGAUGAGCUUUCAGACGCGCCGAGGCUGAGCCGUCCCGCCGUGUCCCAUUAACACCGAGGCAUCAGAGGUACCAAUCCCGGAGCAAAAGGGGUUGUAGUGAGGGGUACCAGUGAC